rnacentral:lncRNA from 1 species
AACUCAACUGACUUUUCCCUCUCCUUAUCUACAGACCAGAAGCAGGGAGAUAGUAACACAACUGUGAAAAUAGAAAACAAACCAGGCACAGGCAAGCAAGGAUCUGGAUUUGUCAAUGAAGCUACUGAGAGGAGCCUGUUCAACCAGCCUGUGAUAUGCUUGCCCUGCUCUAGGAAAGAUUGCAUGAAUAAAAAGUAUAAGGUUUCUACCCCUGGACUCUGGAAUUCAAGCUUUUUGGGUAGAAAAUUUGCUAAGACAGCACUGAGGAAACCCUCUGCUCCAGUCAGAUGCCAGAGAAAGACAGUGGUCUGUAACUUCUCAUGGAGUUCACUUCUGGAAACUGUCUGAAAUGGGGAAAGAGGCAGGUGGAGGCUUCUCCCAUAUGUAUAUGCAAUGCCUGCAGGGUAGGGCAUGAAGGAAAACAGAGAGGAAAAACUAGAAACGUCGAGGAUAAGAGAAUAACAGAAAGCCACAGUGUCCGCAAAGCAAAAUAAAAUUAAACCACCCACCCUGCACUUCAGUGGGGGGCACCCUGAACCUCACACCCCAUACUUCAUGUUGAACCUGAGGUGAGUUCAUCCGAGCAGAUUGUGGAGAGCUGUUCCUCAAACCUGCAGUGAAACUGGUCCUGGGAGGAAAGGCCAAUUCAGUUCACUUACGUUGCAAUGUUUUACACUAUUUCAAAGUAACCAGAAGAAAGAUUUAGAGUGUUCUGUUCACAAAACACGGCAUAUGGUGGAAGUGAUGUUACAAGUUAAACACCACAAGUUGAUAUCACAUGGAGGCCUGCCUGUGUCCAAAUAUCACGCUGUAUUCCACAAACAUGUGCCAGGUAAAACAGUUAGAGGGGCUGGAGAUCUGGCUUACAACUUAAGAGCACUGAGUGCUCUUGCAAAGGACCUGGAAUUGAUUCACAGCACUCACUUGGCAACUCACAACCAUCUUGGAAAUCAUCAGACACAUGGCAAAGAUUCAUAACUCCCAGAUGCAAUAAUUAAAAAGAAAUACAUUUUAAAAACAUGGAUGGAUAAGAGGAAAAGACAGCUGUUUGAGAACAGUAAGUACAGGGAGGUGACAAAGUGUGUCACCUGGCCAGACAGUAAGAUGGUGCCAAACAAGAGGCAAGAUGUCAUGGACCAAUGGGACAUGGGUGGAGGGU